GUCAUCGGGCUCGGCUGCAGCUAGUAAAGCCUGUAGUGAGAGCAAAACUGUGCGCAGAGUCAUCGCUGCAGCCCUGCAGAGAGUGAAGAGGUCGAGAUGAAGCGAGGGCCAAAUCCCACUGACACCACUAUCAGCAGGUAAAUAAAGUCAAGAGAAAAGCGACACGAACAACAUCAGCAACAUCACAGAAGCAUUUCGUUUCAACUUUAGAGUUUCAACUGAAGUUAUGAUGGAAAUGAGAAGUGACAGUGGAGCGCAUAUCUGCAAGGGAAGUGACCAAUCGGAAAUCUGAAGCCCGAAAAUAUGAUUCAUUUUCAUAAUUUUGCAACAUGAUCUUAGAAGCUUUGUUAUACAGUAUGUCCUUACUAAACACUUUAUUAUUUGUUAAAGGUUUGAGUCAGCAAAAAAUCCAGUUCUUGUACAUUCUUUGUACAUUUUGUUCUUAUACAUUCAAGUUUCAUUAACUAAUGUUAACAAGUACAAGGAAAAAAUGUCAUUACCAUCACACACAACAUUAAAAAAGUCUAAAACACA